rnacentral:rRNA from 1 species
UACAGAGGUGGCAAGCGUUGUUCGGAAUUACUGGGCGUAAAGGGCGCGUAGGCGGCUCAACAAGUCACUUGUGAAAUCUCCGGGCUUAACUCGGAGCGGCCAAGUGAUACUGUCGUGCUAGAGUGCGGAAGGGGCAACUGGAAUUCUCGGUGUAGCGGUGAAAUGCGUAGAUAUCGAGAGGAACACCUGCGGCGAAGGCGGGUUGCUGGGCCGACACUGACGCUGAGGCGCGAAAGUGUGGGGAGCGAACAGG